rnacentral:rRNA from 1 species
GACGAACGCUGGCGGCGUGCUUAACACAUGCAAGUCGAACGGUAAGGCCCUUCGGGGUACACGAGUGGCGAACGGGUGAGUAACACGUGGGUGAUCUGCCCUGCACUUCGGGAUAAGCCUGGGAAACUGGGUCUAGUACCGGAUAGGACUCCUGGAUGCAUGUCCUGGGGUGGAAAGCUUUUGCGGUGUGGGAUGGGCCCGCGGCCUAUCAGCUUGUUGGUGGGGUGAUGGCCUACCAAGGCGACGACGGGUAGCCGGCCUGAGAGGGUGACCGGGCACACUGGGACUGAGAUACGGCCCAGACUCCUACGGGAGGCAGCAGUGGGGAAUAUUGCACAAUGGGCGCAAGCCUGAUGCAGCGACGCCGCGUGAGGGAUGACGGCCUUCGGGUUGUAAACCUCUUUCAGCACCGACGAAGCGCAAGUGACGGUAGGUGCAGAAGAAGGACCGGCCAACUACGUGCCAGCCGCCGCCGUAA